rnacentral:rRNA from 1 species
GGUUAAGCGACUAAGCGUACACGGUGGAUGCCCUGGCAGUCAGAGGCGAUGAAGGACGUGCUAAUCUGCGAAAAGCGUCGGUAAGGUGAUAUGAACCGUUAUAACCGGCGAUGUCCGAAUGGGGAAACCCAGUGUGAUUCGUCACACUAUCGUUAACUGAAUACAUAGGUUAACGAGGCGAACCGGGGGAACUGAAACAUCUAAGUACCCCGAGGAAAAGAAAUCAACCGAGAUUCCCCCAGUAGCGGCGAGCGAACGGGGAGCAGCCCAGAGUCUGAAUCAGCUUGUGUGUUAGUGGAACGGUCUGGAAAGUCCGACGGUACAGGGUGAUAGUCCCGUACACCAAAAUGCACAGGUUGUGAACUCGAAGAGUAGGGCGGGACACGUGGUAUCCUGUCUGAAUAUGGGGGGACCAUCCUCCAAGGCUAAAUACUCCUGACUGACCGAUAGUGAACCAGUACCGUGAGGGAAAGGCGAAAAGAACCCCGGCGAGGGGAGUGAAAAAGAACCUGAAACCGUGUACGUACAAGCAGUGGGAGCACCUUCGGGUGUGACUGCGUACCUUUUGUAUAAUGGGUCAGCGACUUAUAUUCUGUAGCAAGGUUAACCGUAUAGGGGAGCCGCAGGGAAACCGAGUCUUAACUGGGCGUUAAGUUGCAGGGUAUAGACCCGAAACCCGGUGAUCUAGCCAUGGGCAGGUUGAAGGUUGGGUAACACUAACUGGAGGACCGAACCGACUAAUGUUGAAAAAUUAGCGGAUGACUUGUGGCUGGGGGUGAAAGGCCAAUCAAACCGGGAGAUAGCUGGUUCUCCCCGAAAGCUAUUUAGGUAGCGCCUCGUGAACUCAUCUUCGGGGGUAGAGCACUGUUUCGGCUAGGGGGUCAUCCCGACUUACCAACCCGAUGCAAACUACGAAUACCGAAGAAUGUUAUCACGGGAGACACACGGCGGGUGCUAACGUCCGUCGUGAAGAGGGAAACAACCCAGACCGCCAGCUAAGGUCCCAAAGUCAUGGUUAAGUGGGAAACGAUGUGGGAAGGCACAGACAGCCAGGAUGUUGGCUUAGAAGCAGCCAUCAUUUAAAGAAAGCGUAAUAGCUCACUGGUCGAGUCGGCCUGCGCGGAAGAUGUAACGGGGCUAAACCAUGCACCGAAGCUGCGGCAGCGACACUAUGUGUUGUUGGGUAGGGGAGCGUUCUGUAAGCCUGCGAAGGUGUGCUGUGAGGCAUGCUGGAGGUAUCAGAAGUGCGAAUGCUGACAUAAGUAACGAUAAAGCGGGUGAAAAGCCCGCUCGCCGGAAGACCAAGGGUUCCUGUCCAACGUUAAUCGGGGCAGGGUGAGUCGACCCCUAAGGCGAGGCCGAAAGGCGUAGUCGAUGGGAAACAGGUUAAUAUUCCUGUACUUGGUGUUACUGCGAAGGGGGGACGGAGAAGGCUAUGUUAGCCGGGCGACGGUUGUCCCGGUUUAAGCAUGUAGGCUGGUUGUCCAGGCAAAUCCGGAUAAUCAAGGCUGAGGUGUGAUGACGAGGCACUACGGUGCUGAAGUAACAAAUGCCCUGCUUCCAGGAAAAGCCUCUAAGCAUCAGGUAACAUUAAAUCGUACCCCAAACCGACACAGGUGGUCAGGUAGAGAAUACCAAGGCGCUUGAGAGAACUCGGGUGAAGGAACUAGGCAAAAUGGUGCCGUAACUUCGGGAGAAGGCACGCUGGUGUGUAGGUGAAGCCCCUGCGGGUGGAGCUGAGACCAGUCGAAGAUACCAGCUGGCUGCAACUGUUUAUUAAAAACACAGCACUGUGCAAACACGAAAGUGGACGUAUACGGUGUGACGCCUGCCCGGUGCCGGAAGGUUAAUUGAUGGGGUUAUCCGUAAGGAGAAGCUCUUGAUCGAAGCCCCGGUAAACGGCGGCCGUAACUAUAACGGUCCUAAGGUAGCGAAAUUCCUUGUCGGGUAAGUUCCGACCUGCACGAAUGGCGUAAUGAUGGCCAGGCUGUCUCCACCCGAGACUCAGUGAAAUUGAACUCGCUGUGAAGAUGCAGUGUACCCGCGGCAAGACGGAAAGACCCCGUGAACCUUUACUAUAGCUUGACACUGAACAUUGAGCCUUGAUGUGUAGGAUAGGUGGGAGGCUUUGAAGCGUGGACGCCAGUCUGCGUGGAGCCAACCUUGAAAUACCACCCUUUAAUGUUUGAUGUUCUAACGUUGGCCCCUGACCGGGGUUGCGGACAGUGUCUGGUGGGUAGUUUGACUGGGGCGGUCUCCUCCCAAAGCGUAACGGAGGAGCACGAAGGUUAGCUAAUCCUGGUCGGACAUCAGGAGGUUAGUGCAAUGGCAUAAGCUAGCUUGACUGCGAGCGUGACGGCGCGAGCAGGUGCGAAAGCAGGUCAUAGUGAUCCGGUGGUUCUGAAUGGAAGGGCCAUCGCUCAACGGAUAAAAGGUACUCCGGGGAUAACAGGCUGAUACCGCCCAAGAGUUCAUAUCGACGGCGGUGUUUGGCACCUCGAUGUCGGCUCAUCACAUCCUGGGGCUGAAGUAGGUCCCAAGGGUAUGGCUGUUCGCCAUUUAAAGUGGUACGCGAGCUGGGUUUAGAACGUCGUGAGACAGUUCGGUCCCUAUCUGCCGUGGGCGCUGGAGAAUUGAGGGGGGCUGCUCCUAGUACGAGAGGACCGGAGUGGACGCAUCACUGGUGUUCGGGUUGUCAUGCCAAUGGCACUGCCCGGUAGCUAAAUGCGGAAGAGAUAAGUGCUGAAAGCAUCUAAGCACGAAACUUGCCCCGAGAUGAGUUCUCCCUGAGACUUUAAGUCUCCUGAAGGAACGUUAAAGACGAUGACGUUGAUAGGCCGGGUGUGUAAGCGCAGCGAUGCGUUGAGCUAACCGGUACUAAUGAACCGUGAGGCUUAACCUU